rnacentral:rRNA from 1 species
GAUGAACGCUGGCGGCAUGCCUAAUACAUGCAAGUCGAACGAGAGGAAGGAAAGCUUGCUUUUCUGAAUCUAGUGGCGAACGGGUGAGUAACACGUAGGUAACCUGCUCAUGUGCCCGGGAUAACUUCUGGAAACGGAUGCUAAAACCGGAUAGGUAGCAGACAAGCAUUUGACUGCUAUUAAAGUGGCUAAGGCCAUGAACAUGGAUGGACCUGCGGUGCAUUAGCUAGUUGGUGAGGUAACGGCCCACCAAGGCGACGAUGCAUAGCCGGCCUGAGGGGGCGGACGGACACAUUGGGACUGAGACACGGCCCAAGCUCCUGCGGGAGGCAGCAGUAGGGAAUUUUCGUCGAUGGAGGGAACCCUGAACGAGCAAUGCCGCGUGAGUGAGGAAGGUCUGCGGAUCGUAAAGCUCUGUUGUAAGAGAAAAACGACAUUCAUAGGGAAUGAUGAGUGAGUGAUGGUAUCUUACCAGAAAGUCACGGCUAACUACGUGCCAGCAGCCGCGGUAA